AACAAAAACAUGUUUCUACAGCUACUUCAGAAACUUCAGCUCUUCUGAUUCACAGAUGUAUUACUGUGCUGUGGCCACAUGUGUGGAGUCUUUUUCUGGAGACAAAACAAAAGGCGAUACUGACGCAGUCAACAAAACUAAUUCAGUGAAGGACUAUGCACUUCUCUAUCUGUUAUGUGUUGCUUUGGCUGUAACCCUGAUUGUUAUAGCCUCUCUAAUCUAUUCAGUCAAGAAGAAUAGCUCAUGUGUGGGUUGCAAUGAUGCAGUCGCUUUACGAACAAAUGUGACAGCAAAAGGAGAUCAGGAAAUUAUGCAGACAGAUGAAGACUCAUUGGUUUAUUCUGUAGUAAUUUUCACUUGUGGAAAAAUGGGAUACAGGAACAAGGACAACAGAACCUGCAGAGGACGAGAACAUCUGUACUGAUUUAAAGGCUCUUGAGGUGGAUUAAUAGCUAGUGACAUUUAACUCUUGCCUUUUAAAUUGUGUUAGAAAUGUACUUAUCCUUCUAGCUACCCUUUUUUUUUUUGCAUUUUAUUAAUAGUUAUAUAGACAAAAAUAAAUAAUUACAAUGAUAAUUUUUAAUUUGUUUUUCUAAUAGAUGUACAUAGUAUUAAUCCUAUCCAUGAAUGGUUCUUUAUUGUGGAACUUUUCUUUUUUCUGAUGUUGUGAUAUGUUUCUACAUAUUCUUGUGUCUGUAUAUAUUUCUUCAUGGCCCACAUCAAUAUGUUUAUCUCAGUGUAAUGUAUUGAAAGGAAAAGGUGGAAACAGUAUAUGUAUUACUCCCUUCUUAAUAGACAGACAUAGAAUAGUGUACUUC